rnacentral:lncRNA from 1 species
UUAUUUUUCUGCUUGUUUUUGUUUUUCUUGCUUUCUCAGACGUCUAGAACAAGAUCAGAAGGAAGCAGGGCGUCUGGCCGCCGACUGUAAGGAAACGGCGUCUGAGGUCGGCUCUCGGGUCCUGCAAGUCUGGAGGACCGUGAAGAGGUUCCAUUCUCGGCUGAGCACGCCCGUCCUGCGUCGAAAGUUACCCAGGAUAUAAUGAACCUCCACUGCACGGAAGGGUGAGUUCUGACAAAGGCACCGUCGUUUCGACUUGGCCGUGAAGAUGUAGAAGACUUGUGCCAUCCCCAGGCUCCUUUGCGCUGCUCUGUUGGGAACAGUCCUCUCGGUCCCUGCAUGCCUUGACCACAGCUGGCCGCUCUGUGCCCCCAGAUGUCUGCUUCCCCAGAAUGCCCUAGAAGGGGCUGAUGUAUGCUUACGGAACAGAGUGCAUCUGAG